CAUGGUACCCAGUGCCAACCACUCCACAUUAAUCAGCCAUGUGCUGUUCCAGGGGUCACUGUCAUUCGGGGACGUGGCUGUGGGCUUCACCCGGAAAGAGUGGCAGCAGCUGGACCUGGAGCAGAGGACCCUGUACCAGGAUGUGAUGCUGGAGAUCUACAGCCACCUGCUCUCUGUGGGGUGUCAAGUCAGCAAACCAGCUGUGAUCUCCAGUUUGGAGCAGGGGAAGGAGCCAUGGAUGGAGGAGGAAGAGAUAAGGACGUGGAGCUUCCCAGCUUCAUGAAUGUAACGAACUUGGAAAAAAACUCCAUCAGAACCCAAACCUCCUUCCAUCAAAACAGCAGGUCCGCACACGUGACUUGUGCAGAAAGAGUUUGAUGUGUAACCUGGACUUCACUCCUAACGCCUACCUGGCGAGGAGGAGAUUUCAGUGCGACGGCCACGGAAACUUCUCUAUUCGAAACUUGAAACUCCACCUUCAGGAGCGAAUCCACGCGGAGGUCACCAGUGUGGCAGUGCUUUAAGCUGUGACGAGGGAGUUCCUGCAGCUCAGGGAGCCAGUAGUGAGAAACCCCACGAAUGCACGAAGUGUGGGAAAGCCUUGUGCUGCAGAUCGGACCUCAGGGUACAUCACGGGGUCCACGCGGGGGAGAAGUCCUCUGCGUGCAGUGAACGGGGGAGUGGUUUCAGGGAGAAGCUUUGCCCUGACAAACAGGGAACUCACACAAAGGAGAAACCCGCUAGAGACAGAAGUGGUAAAACGAUCUUCCGGAAGACACGCCUGUGUGUCCCGGGCACAGUUCACGCCGGAGCGAAGCCUUACAAGUGUUGGGAGUGUGAGAAAACCUCCCACAAGUCGCGCCUCAUCGAGCACCUUCGCUCCCACCCGGGGGAGAAGCCCUGCGGCUGCAGGGAAUGCGGAAAGGCCUUUUUCCAGAAGUCACACCUCAUCCUGCGUCAGAGGACUCACACGGGGGAGAAGCCCUGCGGCUGCGCGGAGUGCGGGAAAGCUGCUCCCAGGACUCCUGCCUCCUGACCCACAGGCGGACUCGCGGGGAAGAAACCGUACGAGUGCUCCGACUGCGGGAAGACCUCCCGGAAGGCGAACCUCAUCCGCCACCACGGGAUCCACACGAGGGAGAAGCUGCAUGGGUGA
rnacentral:lncRNA from 1 species